ensembl:lncRNA
UCCUCUUUCCAUUUUGUUGGGCAGACUGGGGCUCAGUAAGACAAAGGCCAUCCCUGAAGCGGAAAAGCUCCGCACGGUCGGGAGAACUGGGGACUGAAGGAGGCCAAGAGGCCAAGGCCCGCUAAGACCAUGAAGCUGCGGAGCACCGCCAAGGCCUAGAGAGAUCCGCCUCUCGAACCCCGGUCCCCCUCCGCUUCCAGCUUCCGGGAUGGGCGCGGCUUCCGGUUCCGGCGGUGGGCUACAAAGCUCGGGGCCGGGGAGCUGGUUUCCUUUUCCCGGACCCGGUGGAGGGCCCUCUAGUUUCAUCGCGAGCCGCCCGGUCCCCCCGCCCUCUGAGGGGCACCUGCGCAGGAGUCUGAGAAAUCCUCUUCCAGAGUUCUAGAAUGGAGAUGGAAGGGGACCCAGAGAUGCAAAGAAAUGGGGAAAUCCAGAAUGAUGACAUAAGUGCACUACCAAAUGAGAUGUUGGCUGAGGAGCCAGAGGUGGUCCUGAUAGCACCUCCCCAGGUCCAGGUGCCACCAGAGAGCUUCAAAGACUCUGAAGAAGACCUGGAGACCGUGCCCCGAGGGAGACCUCUCACCGCUGCAGCCUCCAGGCAGAGAUUCCGGAAGUUCCGCUACGAGGAUGCGGCUGGGCCCAGGGAUGUCCUCAGACAACUCCAGGAGCUUGCCGGACAGUGGCUGAGGCCCGACAUUCACACAAAGGAGCAGAUUGUGGAAAUGCUGGUGCAGGAGCAACUCCAGGUUGUCCUCCCUGAGGAGCUCAGAGCCAGGGCACAGAGAUGUCAGCCUGGGGUCAGAAUCACUGGCUGAAUCUCGCUGCUUGCUUCUUGCUCAGCCUACAUGUGGGAAGUAAGCAGAGGCUCUCUCUGUUGCAAGAUCGAGCUGCAGGCGUGGGAAAUCUGAACCUCAGUUUUCUUCGAGCUUGCCUUUGACUAGCUGUAGGAAGAAUCAGAACCCAUGCCUGGACCCUUUUCUGGCUGCAGCAGCUCUAUUUCCUGGGACUGUGAACUCCAGAAUGAGUUUCCCUGCCCUCUUGUUAGGACAAUCAGCCUGCUGCUUCGUUUUUGCUCUGCUAAGAUGCCCCCUUUUUUGCACUUUGUGACAUGCUUUAAUAUAUUGUUUUUGUUGUUGUUUCUUUUUUUAAUGUACCCAAAGAGGUGAUUGCCUCAGCUUUAAUAUUCUUGAUUCUUGCUGUGGUGGCAUGAAUGGAAGCUUCUGUAACCCCACCAGUAACUCAUUUGGGAUGUCCUUGAAAUAUUAAAGUUCGGGGUUUUUUUUUU